GUCUUCAGUGGAGCCACUUUGCAGCUUCUCUGUGCGCUCGCUGCGAUCGUGCCCGUUUCCAGGUGCCAUAAGCCAGACUCGCGCAGUCCUGGGAGACUGAGACUUGGGAGACAGUGCAGAAACCCAAGGCAAGUGCUGCUCGGCUGAGG